CUCAAAACAAAAGCAUUUACAAUAUACCAAAUACCAAAAUCUAGAUACAAAAGCUAGUUUUAAGAGGUGAAGAUACAAUUAAACAAUUUCAAAUAUUUACAAUAUCUCUAUAUCCAAUUUCUUGUUUGGAUUCAUAUCACCGUAGCAAGCAACUUCUUCAUUCUAUGGCACUUCCACCAUAUCUGGCACUUCCACACCAUCUCUAUAGGAACCUAGCAUCCACUCAUUUCUUUCAUUUGCAUAUUGGAUUCCCAAAGUGAUAUUUUGUGCUUCAAAGGAAAGCAUUAUCCCACACGUGAGACAGAGAGAGUUCCUGCAGUACAAAUAAGCAGUUGAGUACUAAACCUAGGAAUACUCAGAAGGUCGAAAACAGAAUUAUAAAUAGAAGUGUAAAAGAAGCAGCCUCAUAAUAAACCAAGAAAACUGUAAUAAGCACAAUACUCAGAAGGUCGAAAACAGAAUUAUAAAUAGAAGUGUAAAAGAAGCAGCCUCAUAAUAAACCAAGAAAACUGUAAUAAGCACAAGGAGCAGGAGCUGCAUCCUUUCAACAGCCCACUUUGCAGCAAUUGUAAGACAAAGUGAGCAGAAUCCCACUUUGCAGCAAUUGUAAGACAAAGUGAGCAGAAUCCUUUGCCUCACGAAGUUCAUAUAUGUUAUGCACUUCUACAAACAACAUUGGGACCUACAUACAGAACCAACCACAUAGAUAAGCUUAUGUUCAAUUAAAUAUUUAAAUACAAGAACUCAUAAAUUAUACAGUAUAAGAUGUAUUCCUACAAAAACGGCCAAAAAUAUAUUCUUAUCCCUCCCAUCUAUCUGGUUUUGCAAUAUCUGCUAAAAUCAAAAUAAAAGAAAACUAGUGUACUAGACUUAUUCAAAUUGGAUUUUAACUACAUGAAGCUAUAUUAGAUUUCGAAAUAUACCUUCCAUCUAUAUUCUAUCAGAUAUCAAUAUAUACUACAGGCAGACCUGAUUGGACUUAGUACUGAAUUCGUGCAUUCUGGAAGAGCAAACAUGCAGUUUUUCAUGUACUUGCAGGAAGACCUAAGAUUUUUGCUUGGUGUUAAAUGAUCAUCAAAUCAGAAUUACUUGACUGAUAGAGAAAAAAUAUCAAGUGAAGAAUUCAUAUAUUUAUAAAAAUAUAAAAUAGCAGAGCAGAUAGUAAGGGUUGAGGGGUUAUACGAAAUCAUAGAAGAGGGCCUGUUUAUGUAACUUCUGAUGAUCUGAUCUCUUGUUGAAGACCAGUGGUUAAUGUUGGUACUCGAGUUAACGAAAACUGAGAUUUUUUUCCAGAAUCUGCAUUCUUAUCUCCUCCAUCUAUUUCAUAUACUAAAGAACUGACAUUAGCGGUCAAAACACAAUCCAUGGACUAUGCAACAACUGACUAUCACAAAGAUAUCAUUAGAGAAAGAUGUUUUGCCUACUUUUUGACUACAACAUACAUAUGUUUUGUACCGUUCCCAUCUAUUUCCUGUAUGGUGCAUCUCUACAGGAGUAGUGUUCUGUACGGAUCUUGUGAUGCAUGAGGCUUCUGCUGAUUGAGUUCAUUUUCAAACAAACACUCUUCAAACCAAGUACUGCUGAGAACAAUUACUACCAUACCAGCUGCUUCCUCCCUGUCCAUUACAACCACACCCAUUACCACAUCUAUUAGUCUAAUCCAAUCCAUAAUUACCAGCUGUCUCCUCUUACUUUCAUUAAUUGACAUAAACUGGUAACAAUUUGGAGAAACUCCAAAAAUUAAACAUACAGUAACAUUGCAAGUUAACAAGUAAAUAUAUUACGACUUAUUAAAUAAAAAAGAAUCUAAGCUUUUUUUAGGCAUAAACUCAUAGACUAACAUCUUAUGUAGUCUGCUAUCAUCCCCUAUUGCAUCAAUUAAUAAAUUGCAAGAAUUUAAAAUAAUAUUGUGCUUGAAUAAAAUUAGGUCAACAUAAUAAUUAAAGAGAAAAACUGAAUUCAGGAGCUUUGUUUUCUUAGACAUGUCCUAGGUCCUAAUUCAAGAAAUAGAGUUAUGCAUCUCAAUCUGAAGCUUACCUACAGCCUGUGAUAGACGAGAAGACUAAUCAAUGCCAAGAAGGAUUUGGUAUGAGAACCAGCAAGUGAACAAUCAAAACAAAAACAUAAACAACUUCACCCCAUCUCACACUUAUGCAUAGAGUCGAGAUUACCUACAAAAUCUCAUAAAGAAACGAGAUUACCAGCAAAAUGAAAGCCCAAGAGUUGAAACCCUAAUUUGUAGAGAGAGUUUAUAAAUGGAGUUUGUAACUAUCAAUCAGAGGUUUAAAAUUUGUAAAAUGGAUAUGUUUGGAAUCGAGAGAGGUGUUUGUGUUUCAAUACCCUAUACAAUUGCAGAAGAGCUUCACCAGAGGAGAGGAGAAAGAGAUUGGAAAGGGGGAUAAAAAUUAGAGAUAAGAGGUGAGGGGGGAACUCAAAAUUUGGGGUGGGAGAUGAAUGGGGG
rnacentral:lncRNA from 1 species